rnacentral:rRNA from 1 species
GGGAUAACCUUGGGAAACUGAGGCUAAUACCGGAUAACGGACUAUGUCUGGAAUGAUUUGUCCGUCAAAAGCAAUGCCUGAUGAUGAGUCGGCGGCGGAUUAGGUUGUUGGCGGGGUAACGGCCCACCAAGCCGAAGAUCCGUAGGGGCCUUGAAAGAGGUAGCCCCCAGAAGGGCACUGAAAUACUGGCCCUAGCCCUACGGGGUGCAGCAGGCGCGAAACCUCUACAAUGCACGCAAGUGUGAUAGGGGAACCCUAAGCGCUUUACACACGUAAGGCUUUUGCCAAUGCUAAACCCAUUGGCGAAUAAGUGGUGGGUAAGACGGGUGCCAGCAGCCGCGGUAACCCCCGCGCCACAAGUGGCAAUCGCAAUUAUUGGGCCUAAAGCGUCCGUAGUCGGUUAUGUAAAUCUCUUGUGAAAUUGUUGUGCUCAACAUAACACUGUGCAGGAGAAACUGCAUGACUUGGAACCGGGAGGGGUCAGGAGUAUUCUAAGGGGAGCGGUAAAAUGUUAUAAUCCUUAGAAGACUACCUGUGGUGAAGACGCCUGACCAGAACGGAUUCGACGAUGAGGGACGAUAGCUAGGGGAGCAAAACGGAUUAGAUACCCGAGUAGUCCUAGCUGUAAACACUGCGAGCAAGGUGUCGCGCAUUCUUUGUGGAUGCGCGGUGUCGAAACGAAGGUGCUAAGCUCGCCGCCUGGGAAGUAUAGUCGCAAGGCCGAAACUUAAAGGAAUUGGCGGGGGAGCACUACAAGGGGUGCGGCGUGCGGUUUAAUCCAAAUCAACGCGGAGAAUCUCACCAGGGGCGACGGCAGGAUGAAAGUCAGGCUAAAGACUUUACUUGACGAGCCGAGAGGUAGUGCAUGGCCGCCGUCAGCUCGUGCCGUAAGGUGUCCUGUUAAGUCAGGUAACGAGCGAGACCUGCGCGCACAAUUGCUAACGAGUCGUAAGAUGAUCGAGCACAUUGUGCGAACUGCCCGUGAAAAUGGGAGGAAGGUGCAGGCAACGGUAGGUCUGUAUGCUCCGAAUCCUCUGGGCUACACGCGCGCAACAAUGGUAUGAACCAUGGGAUGCAACUCCGAAAGGAGAAGCCAAACCUCGAAAUCAUAUCCAAGUCCAGAUUGAGGGCUGUAACUCGCCCUCAUGACGAUGGAAUCCCUAGUAAUCGGGUGUCAACAUCGCCCGGUGAAUAUGUCCCUGCUCCUUGCACACACCGCCCGUCAAACCAACCGAGCAGGGUUUAAGUGAGUAUGACGCUUACUUACGUCAUCCAAACUUAAGCUCAGUGAGGUGGGUUAAGUCGUCACAAGGUA